ACGAGGCAUUGUUUGUAUUGUUGUUGUUGCUGCUUGAGGUUGAUGAACCCAUUUGAGCAGCUUUCUGAAGAAGAGCAGUGGCUGACAUGUGAGAUGCUGAAUUAGGGUUUUGCAUUGACGAGCUAAAGAGUGAAGGCACUGCUCCUGAAUUGAUUCUGCCUGCUNNNNNNNNNNAAGGCACUGCUCCUGAAUUGAUUCUGCUUGCUGAACUCAUCAGAUUAUUAGGGAAGAGACCAGUACUUCCUCCUCCGCUUCCUCCAACAGCAUUUUCACCACCAAAAUGGUUUGAAAGCAUAUGGUUAGCCGAAGGAACAGCAGCAGCAUU
rnacentral:lncRNA from 1 species